UAUAGACUCAAUGAGAGGAUAUUACAGACGAACAGCCGUAUGUGGACUUCAGGUUCCUGGGGUUGUACUUCAGUUGCCACCACUACAACUCCUGCACUCGCCAGCUCACACCUCCUUCAAGAGGACAUAUGAAAUCUUCCUUGAAUUCCACUUCUACUGAACUGGGAAGCUGGGUGGCCAUG